AUUGAACGCUGGCGGCAUGCCUAACACAUGCAAGUCGAACGGCAGCACAAUAAAGAUUUCGGUCUUUAUGGGUGGCGAGUGGCGGACGGGGGAGUAACGCGUAGGAAUCUGUCCUGGAGAGUGGGAUAACCCGAGGAAACUCGGGCUAAUACUGCAUGACAUUGAGAGAUUAAAAGCAGGGGACCGAAAGGCCUUGCGCUCUGGGGUGAGCCUACGUCGGAUUAGGUAGUUGGUGGGGUAAAGGCCUACCAAGGCGACGAUCCGUAGCUGGUCUGAGAGGAUGACCAGCCACACUGGGACUGAGACACGGCCCAGACUCCUACGGGAGGCAGCAGUGGGGAAUCUUGGACAAUGGGGGAAACCCUGAUCCAGCGAUGCCGCGUGUGUGAAGAAGGCCUUCGGGUUGUAAAGCACUUUAGGUGGGGAAGAAAGGUAGCGAGUGAAUAACUUUCUGCUGUGACGGUACCCACAGAAUAAGCACCGGCUAACUCUGUGCCAGCCGCCGCGGUAA
rnacentral:rRNA from 1 species